UCCAAUAUGGACUAGUGGCUAGGAUUCCUGGCUUUCACCCAGGAGGCUCGGGUUCGAUUCCUGGUGUCGGAA
rnacentral:tRNA from 1 species